UACAUAUAUAUAUAUUCCUCUUCCUUAUCUAAGAUGAACAAGGCUUAAAUACUCAGAACCACAGAGAGGAUUAGAGGGAAAAGCAGCCUUUUGAAAGAAGUUCCUUGCUGUUUCUUUCACUGGGCCUGCACUUGUCUUCACAGCUGUAUUACAUAGUAAAGGUAGUAAAAAAAAACAAUGAAAUUCAUCGGAUAAAAAAAGUAUCAAAGAAAGUUAUUUCAGGAAUAUGUGUUUAAGCUAAAAAAAAAAAAAACAUUGAAUGACUGGCGUUAUAUUUAUCAGUAUUUGACAAAUAUAAAAUAUUCAGGAUGACAUCAGGCAGCUACUCCCGACAUCAACUCGACCCUGAUAUCUCAAAAAUACAAGGUUCCUUGGCGUAAAAGCCCUCAGUCACAGCCUAUAAUGGGUUAAAAAUGCUGUAUUUAGAUUAGUUGCAAUGUGAUUCAGUGUCCCAGUGAUAACACUGAUCUGUUAGUGGCAGGGGCGUACAUAGAAAUCAUUAGGCCCCAUAACAAAAAUCUGGAUUGGGCCUCCAUGCCCCAUCCUUAGCCUCUCCCACUAUCUGUUCCCUCCUCCUGGCUGUCUGCUUCUACUUACUAUAUAAUGUGCCAUACCUCAUCCCCACCAUCAUAAACUGUGCCUGUUGCUGCGUGUAAUAUACAGUGUGCCAUAACCAAAUAAAUGAUGUCUAUUGCUGAGUAAAAUAUAUAGUGUGCCAUCCCCCCCAUCCCCAGGAAUUACUGUAUGCCUAUAUGGUGUGCCAUACCAGCCAAGAACUAUGGCUGCAUAUAAUAUAUAGCUGGGUCAGAAGGAGGAGGAGAGCAGGGAGCUGGAAGGCAAGGACUGAGCCCAAGGGAGGACUUGGGAAGUGACAGGAGCUUGUGUGUGUAAUUUAGAGGCAUCCAUGGCCGGGACCUUUUCCCCCAGGGGCCCCAUGCCAACUGCGUGGUCUGCCUCUAUUGGAGGUACACCACUGGUUAGUGGGGAUGACAUGGGGUGGAUUUGGCAUUUCUGGGGCACUAAGCAAAGUCACAUUGCGCCGCUAAGCUCCAGUCCAUUGCACUGCAAAGCUCUUCACCCAUCAGCCCAGUAAGAUCCACUCUUAGUUUAGCAGUGCAGCCUGGGCACUUCUGCUACCGCUCUACCACUGGGAAAGACCCUAUCUCCCCUGGGGUCCUGUGCAACUACACUGGCGAUAUGUCCGUUCAACCACUAAAUAUGGCCGCCUGAUCUCUGUGGGCCACGAGCAUUUGCUUGAUUUGCAUGGUGGAAACGUCCACCACUGGGGAUGACCUGUAUUUUAACCAUUUUUGACUAUAACAGGUAGAUGAUGCAUUAUGGUGGUUCCGCUUGAAGCCACAUAUACAUGGGAAUGAUUUUGAUGCAUAUUUUCCAUGGGGAUUUGCAUGUGGAUCUUUCUUUGAUUUCUUAGAUAUUUUCCCAAAUUUCACCGUUUACAUUGAGAUGAAAAUCCUCUUUUAUUUUAUUUUGAGUCCACUGCUUUUUUUGGCUUCAAUAAUAUGGCACAUGUGAAACUACAUACUUUUAACAAAUCCUUUCUUUGAACAGACAUCACAACAGUCGCUCUUCUCUCCAGUCAUAGAAGAGAGGCAUAUUCUGGAGGGAUACAUACAUACGCUGGAGGGCAGCUACAGGGGAUCCAAAUGCUCCACAGCUGCCCUGCACUACUAUCCAAAUCUCUUGCAAAAGCUAUUUCAACGAGUUGUAAUCUGAAGGAAAACCAAGCACCACAUGGUCACUUCCCCAUCAGCGCAACCACAGAAGUAAUGGAGCAGUACAUGGUGGCCAUGCUGGGUGUUCCAUGCUCUUUGAAGCUCAUCAACUUCUAUAAACUAAGAAUUUUCUAAUGAGCUCCAGGGCAUCCCACGUGACCCAAUGAUGUUCUGCUUGGAAGACAUACCACUGUUGCAGCCAGUCAUUGGCCCAUAUGCCAAGCUGACAAGUGGGGACCAGAGCACUCAGAACUCAACAAUAGACUGCGAGAGCUGGAACACAGCGAGAGACAGCAGGAAGAGGGUCAUGUGACACAUCAUAUGCUGUGAAGAUACGAGAUGUGCAGCACCUGAAACUAC